rnacentral:rRNA from 1 species
AUUGAACGCUGGCGGAAUGCUUUACACAUGCAAGUCGAGCGGCAGCGCGGCCUUCGGGCUGGCGGCGAGCGGCGAACGGGUGAGUAAUGCAUCGGAACAUGCCCAGUCGUGGGGGAUAACACUUCGAAAGAAGUGCUAAUACCGCAUACGUCCUGAGGGGGAAAGCGGGGGAACGCAAGACCUCGCGCGAUUGGAGUGGCCGAUGUCAGAUUAGCUAGUUGGUGGGGUAAAGGCCUACCAAGGCGACGAUCUGUAGCUGGUCUGAGAGGAUGAUCAGCCACACUUGGACUGAGACACGGCCCAGACUCCUACGGGAGGCAGCAGUGGGGAAUUUUGGACAAUGGGGGCAACCCUGAUCCAGCCAUUCCGCGUGAGUGAAGAAGGCCUUCGGGUUGUAAAGCUCUUUCGGCAGGAACGAAACGGUGGGCUCUAACAUAGUCCGCUAAUGACGGUACCUGAAGAAGAAGCACCGGCUAACUACGUG